rnacentral:misc_RNA from 1 species
GCAAACUUGGUCAUUUAGAGGAAGUAAAAGUCGUAACAAGGUCUCCGUAGGUGAACCUGCGGAGGGAUCAUUAACGAACGGCCCCGCCCGGGCCUUCAACUUCUCAACCCAUGUGGAUGUUGGCGAUGUUGAGUGCUUCGGCGCCCCUGCGCGCCGCGCUUACUUGACCUCUCUGGCGAUUGCAGUCUGAUUUGGAGACAUCCCUAAAACUUUCAACAAAGGAUCUCUUGGCUCUCGCAUCGAUGAAGAACGCAGC